UGAUGUAAAGUGAGGGAGCAAAAUAAAAGCAGUAUCGGCUCCAAAUAUCCGCUCAAGAAAAUCGGCAGCCUGUAUCGGUCAUCGGCUAAGGCUGAUGGAAAGAAAUCGGUAUCGGCACUAAAAAAUCCAUACCGGUCGAUUAUGAUACCAUUAAGUAGUAUACUGUUGUCCUGAGUGGUGCAAGAAGAGAGAGUGUAGCUAUUAGACCAGCCUGCUGUGCAAGUGUACAUUUCUACACAAAGUGCCGAUCAUGAUGAAAUGCUGUUCUGCCUUUCCUCUUUGAACUGUGUAAUAAAAGGAUUUUAUACUCCAUACAUUGUUGUACCAAUACAUGCAGUGCCUAUAAAAAGUAUCCUCUCCCCCCUUGAAUAUUUCCCCUUUUACUGCUUUCAUAAAUGGAAUCUUGAUCAAUUUAUUUUGGCCCUUUUCUUUUACAAUAAUUUACAUAAAAAAACCUGUUUAAUGUCAAAGUGAAAGCAGAUUUCUACAAAGCAAUGCACUGUAUAUGUGUAACUGUAAUGCAAACUAACUUGAGCCCUAAAACUGUAACCAACUUUAGGCUUGAGUUCAUAAUGUAUUCUGUGUACACUGAAUUCAAGAUGCAUGCCAUUUGAUCUGUUCUUUUUUUUAUAUUAGAUUAAUUUAGAGUGCCUCUCCUUUAUAUGAGGUAUGCUAUAUUUAUCCCAAGUAAACAUUUGACUAUUUUUCAACCUUA